rnacentral:rRNA from 1 species
ACAUCCAGAGAACUUAGCAGAGAUGCUUUGGUGCCUUCGGGAACUCUGAGACAGGUGCUGCAUGGCUGUCGUCAGCUCGUGUUGUGAAAUGUUGGGUUAAGUCCCGNAACGAGCGCAACCCUUAUCCUUUGUUGCCAGCGGUUCGGCCGGGAACUCAAAGGAGACUGCCGGUGAUAAACCGGAGGAAGGUGGGAUGACGUCAAGUCAUCAUGGCCCUUACGGCCAGGGCUACACACGUGCUACAAUGGCGCAUACAAAGAGAAGCGACCUCGCGAGAGCAAGCGGACCUCAUAAAGUGCGUCGUAGUCCGGAUUGGAGUCUGCAACUCGACUCCAUGAAGUCGGAAUCGCUAGUAAUCGUAGAUCAGAAUGCUACGGUGAAUACGUUCCCGGGCCUUGUACACACCGCCCGUCACACCAUGGGAGUGGGUUGCAAAAGAAGUAGGUAGCUUAACCUUCGGGAGGGCGCUUACCACUUUGUGAUUCAUGACUGGGGUGAAGUCGUAACAAGGUAAGCGUAGCGAG